rnacentral:rRNA from 1 species
GACGCAGGGGGCAAGCGUUGUUCGGAAUUACUGGGCGUAAAGGGCUCGUAGGCGGCCAACUAAGUCACACGUGAAAUCCCCAGGCUUAACCUGGGAACUGCGUGUGAUACUGGAUGGCUUGAAUUCGGGAGAGGGAUGCAGAAUUCCAGGUGUAGCGGUGAAAUGCGUAGAUAUCUGGAGGAAUACCGGUGGCGAAGGCGGCAUCCUGGACCGACAUUGACGCUGAUGAGCGAAAGCUAGGGGAGCAAACGGG